GCAAGAAUUAGCGGUAUAGUUUGAAAACUUACCAAAGUUAUCUGGUGGAUGUCGAUACGUUGGUGAGCAGCCGUCACACAUCGGUCUGAUAUAGCUACGGAAAGUUAUUAUUGGAUCGGUCAUAAUAUUACGUUGAAAAGUUAUCUGUUCAUGAACUCAUUUGCAGAUUUGUUGAGGUGUAACAGCAUUUUAGGGGCUAUUGUAAUUCCCACUUUAUCAUACAUAUAGCCCGAUGACCUACAUUUUUGUGUACUCUGGUCUACCCUAUGAUGGCCGCGAGUAACGAUCACGUCACCGUUUAUCAGAUUGCCCAGUUUAAAAGAGUAUCCAACAAUUUCAUCGGAUAGGUACGCCAUAAAUCAUGGCAUAGCGCUGGGCCAGCAUAAUUUUGUCCGGAUCAAUAUCUACAAAAAUGACAUCCCAAUUAUUAGAAGCUAAUAAUAUAGUGUCUUUGUCGAACAGUCAGCUGUACGAAAUUUCCGCUGCGCCACAAAACGGGUCGACGCCGGUCGCUGAACAUGGGAAGUCCUCAAGUCCACCCAGAAUCGUAUUGAUGAAUCAACAAUACAUCUUACAUCUUACAUCUUAAAUCUAACAUCUUAAAUCGUACAUAUAUCAUUGCAAUCUUAUAAUUAUUCACCUGAAUGCAUGUAAUCCUGAAUGUACAGUUAAUUUAUUGCUACCCAUCUACAAAGUCAACACUGUAUUAAUAAAAGUAUUUAUUGAUAAAAUAAAAUUGAAUUCUACAUUAUUUGUAGGUACUUAAUAAUUAUUUGGGUAUAAAGGAAACAUAUUUUAAUCAUACAUAACUAGAUAAACUAAAAGCAAAAAUAAUAAGUAAAUACGUAGUGUUAAAAAUAGUUUUUAAUUAAUAUAGGUAGGAUAGGUACCUAUUAUGUAGGUAGGUACUUAUCCAAAACUCGUUUAUCAGGAAUUAAAUAAAAAGGGAGGUCAAUAAAAAAAAAAAAAAAAAUUGGAAGUGACUCUGCUGAACAGUAGGUUACUAGUGGGUCACUGUAAUGGAUGGUGUUAAAUUUGAUUUCAAUGAUUUAAUAUCAUUUUAUACGAAAAACAAUUUUAAGUGGAGACCAUUUGUCAGCCUAGGAUAUUGUAUACUAUACUUAUAUUGAUAUUAUUAAAUAUUAUUAAUAUCGUAGCCGGUUAAGGUGAAUUAUUAUUAUUUAUUUAUUAUCAUAUUUGUAUAUGAUAAUAUAUUUUAGACGUUUCAA